UACGUAGGGGGCUAGCGUUGUCCGGAAUCAUUGGGCGUAAAGCGCGCGUAGGCGGCCCGAUAAGUCUGCUGUGAAAGUCCAGGGCUCAACCCUGGAAUGCCGGUGGAUACUGUCGGGCUAGAGUUCGGAAGAGGCAAGUGGAAUUCCUGGUGUAGCGGUGGAAUGCGCAGAUAUCAGGAGGAACACCUAUAGCGAAGGCAGCUUGCUGGGACGACACUGACGCUGAGACGCGAAAGCGUGGGGAGCGAACAGG
rnacentral:rRNA from 1 species